GAACUGGCUGGCUGUAACGUGCCAACGUGCCCCUGUGGAAAACAAGCCUGCUUGAAGUAUGAGGGCUUCGGUAACGGAUGCAAGUGCAAAUGCUUAACAGGCAAGGAGAGCUGCGGUAAUAGUCCCUUUGGAUUAUAUGAGUGUACGCACGUCUGCAAUGCAACCUCUCUGUGUAUGUGCAGGUGUGUUGCUCCACCACCAUUUCGCAAACCUAACCCGACAUGCUGCCAGCCAAUCAACGGAUAACAGUGAACUGCUCACAGCACGGAUGA